rnacentral:rRNA from 1 species
CCUACGGGGGACAGCAGUGAGAAAUAUUGGUCAAUGGGCGCGAGCCUGAACCAGCCAAGUAGCGUGAAGGAUGACUGCCCUACGGGUUGUAAACUUCUUUUAUAAAGGAAUAAAGUGAGGCACGUGUGCCUUUUUGUAUGUACUUUAUGAAUAAGGAUCGGCUAACGCCGGGCCAGCAGCCGCGGUAAUACGGGGGAUCCGAGCGUUAUCCGGAUUUCUUGGGGUUAAAGGGCGCGUAGAGGGGUUGUUAAGUCAGUUGUGAAAGUUUGCGGCUCAACCGUAAAAUUGCAAUUGAUACUGGCAGUCUUGAGUACAGUUGCGGUAGGCGGAAUUCGUGUUGUAGCGGU